UUAUGACCAUAUCAAGCUGAAACACCAGUUCUCGUAUGAUCACCAAAGUUAAGCAAUAUCGAGUCUGGUCAAACUUAGAUGGGUGACUCCUUGGGAAUACUAGGUGCUGUAAG